CUCCGCUUUUACGCUUGGCUAAAUCUAUAUAUUAUUCAGUUCAUGUUCACGUUGGACUUACAUUUCAGAUUUUCCUACCCUUCUAUAUACCUGAAGGCUAAUAUAUCUGAAGCCUGAUAUAAGGUACCCCUUCCGGGAGGAGUCCCUUCCCCCGCCUGUAUAGGUCAUUAAAGGGAGUGCCCCCUCGGGAACCGCAUAAGAGACUUCCUAAAGGUCAUAGUUAUAGCGUGGCAGAACUAACAGAAAACGCAAAGGAACGCCAGCAGGUGUGAUACACGAUUUCUUAUCUGAAAACACAAGUGACUGAUACAGAACGCGAAAAUUUAUCUAUCAAAACACCGCAAGUUUUUCAGGCUGACUCCCUCAAAAAGUGCAGUUGGGCUUCUAGGGAGGGGAGGCCAACCUAUCCCACAAUGCCUUUCGAUCGUCCAGCUUUCGCUGUUUCCACGCGCUGGCCUUAACCUUCGAGUGUGUAAACGGAAGGAUAUUUGACUUUUAAUUUUAACUUCUUGUAGAGAGAGGAGAGGUCGCCAUAUUGUUUAUAAACUCACAUAAGGCAAACAAGAAUCAAACAACAACAUGGGACUACUAAGAUCAAUGGAGGAGUCAGAUACAGCUAGAUCAGGGCCAACAAGAAACAUGUGAAAACCGAAAGAUCAGUGGAGGAAGUGAAAAACGUCAGAUGACAGCCCUGACCAGAAGUUCCCUUUUAUAGUGAUCAAGGACAAAGUUAGUCAUUUGGCUCUUCAUCAUCAGUAUUUCACUCUCAGGUCGUCUGCAGAUUUCUCAGUGACCAGACGAUUGAGUGAAGAUAAAGACAAAGACAAGACACUGGUGGGAUAAUAAAUAGACAGGACCUUUAGGACAAGACAUAGCAUACAAGGGAUAAAAGUAAGACAGAUUGAGAGAUGGAGAGAUUUUUUCCAAACCGAAAAGUAGGACGUGCAAGAUAGGAUUUUUUUCGUGGACUAAACGUUAGGAUCGGCCAGAAAAAUGAGUUACAGUUAGGCUUUGUAGGAAAUUUGUCGUCAGCUGUGCUUUACAAAUUUUAAUGCAGUUUUUAAUAAUCUUUUUGUCCAGCUCGCGAUGUGAGAGCUUGGUGGAUUGUGUGACUGACGCGUGCGUGACUCUUGAACAUCAGUGGUGUUGCGUUACACUUGCGGCCGUUGGGAUUAUGUCAGCAGGCUGAUUUAGCAAGAGAACGGGAACGUCACUUGACGACGGCGCGCGCAGAACAAACACCCAAAUAUGGU